rnacentral:rRNA from 1 species
UACGUAGGGAGCAAGCGUUGUCCGGAAUCAUUGGGCGUAAAGCGCGCGUAGGCGGCCCUGUAAGUCCGUUGUGAAAGUCAAAGGCUCAACCUUUGAAAGCCGAUGGAUACUGCAGGGCUAGAGUCCGGAAGAGGCGAGUGGAAUUCCUGGUGUAGCGGUGAAAUGCGCAGAUAUCAGGAGGAACACCAAUUGCGAAGGCAGCUCGCUGGGACGUAACUGACGCUGAGACGCGAAAGCGUGGGGAGCAAACAGG